rnacentral:lncRNA from 1 species
ACACUCUCGGAUGAUUGAGGGAACUGAGUUUUGUCUCUGAGUCCAUUCAGUCAAGUGAAUCUCCUGUUUCUGGAAUUAUCAAGAAGACUACAGAAAAUUAUAGGAGUGACUCCGAAAUGCUAUGGAAGAGAUUCCUGCAUUGUCAUGCAUAAAGGCAGAUAUGAGACCUGAAACUGGGGCAGCCAUUGCGAGACCCUGAUGACAGCCAGCCCAAUGGCAAUGCAGACACACACAGCAUGGUGGCAUGAGAUCAUGUCCUAAGAAAUGAGAGAAUUUGAUGUCAUCGUGUGCUGCAGUCAGCCAGCCUUGGAACUCACCAUACCUCUGGACUGCUUGAUAGGGUUCCAGUUCACCUUCCAAUCACCAUUAGACGAAGUUACUCAUUUUUCCAAAAGCAGAGAACAAGAUUGCAGAAGACAACUUGACGUUCCAUUUUAGGAACCAAUAACCCUCAUAUUUGGAAAUUUCAUUACUACACUUUCAGAGAACCUGUAAGAUACCAGGAGCUCUGGGCCUGCACCUUGGUGUCAUGACCCCAGCUGAAGUGGCAUCAUGGAAG